rnacentral:rRNA from 1 species
AGGGUGUAAACGCUGCGGGCUUGGUGUUGGGGGUCCUUUGAGGGCGCCCAGUGCCGGAGAGAAGUUGUUAAGCCUGCUGCUUGGGGAGUACGUCCGCAAGGAUGAAACUUAAAGGAAUUGGCGGGGGAGCACCGCAACGGGAGGAGCGUGCGGUUCAAUUGGAUUCAACGCCGGAAAUCUUACCGGGACCGACAGCAACAUGAAGGCCAGGCUGAAGACUUUGCCGGAUUAGCUGAGAGGUGGUGCAUGGCGUAGUCGUGU